CAAAUUCAUUCCAUUCUACUGAAUGUGUCAUCGAAAUUAAACAGAGAGCCUUGGAUAACUGAUUGUGGUUUCAUGUGUAAGUUCACUUAACAUGUUACUGAACUUUCUUCGUUCAAAAAGGACAAGGACUAUACAGUCAAUAAGAUUCCGUGUUUGCUAACCUGUUGGCUGCUACCCUUGAAUCUCCCUGUUUGUCAACAACAAAAAAAGAGAUAUGGCCUGUAAGACCAAAUGUCUGGUUGUCACUCCAAAAUAAGGCAAUGACUACACGUUCAACGCGGAUUAUUCGUUUUGUCAUCGAACUUGACUCAUUCCAUCUUCUGGAUUGCUCAGGAAACCUGAUUGGCGUUUUCUGUCCAUUUAGGUAAUGACCGAGAAGAUGCGGCCUACAUGAAUAUCAUUUCGUCGGCCAUUAUCAUUCGACUACCCAACCGGCUUCUACUACCCUGGUCUCAACACAGCAAGGAGUUUUACCCUUAAGAUUUUUGGCUGUUCGCGAUGUGAGAUAUUUCGUUAGACGAGAUGUUGAUUUUGGCGAGAAAAAUAUUGCGUGAGUAACUAAUAUUUUUUCUUUAUAUUUGAUUCAAUCUAAAGAGGUCACAUAAUUUUACUGCAUUCAUCGUCAUUAUACCCUUUCAUUAUCAUUUCCAUACUGCAGAGCUAAAACUGUCUUUUUGUAGGUCUGAAUAUUACUCAUUGAAUGAUAUAUUGGUGAAUAUAUACUCAAAUGUCAUAUAAAGUGAGUUUUAAGCCAUAACCAUUUGGUAUUCAUUUUGAAAUUGGUU